rnacentral:rRNA from 1 species
GAUGAACGCUGGCGGCGCGCCUAACACAUGCAAGUCGAACGAUUAAAGCACCUUCGGGUGUGUAUAAAUUGGCGAACGGCUGAGUAACACGUGGGCAACCUGCCCCUUUCAUUGGGAUAGCCACGGGAAACCGUGGAUAAUACCGAAUACUUCGAGACUCCCGCUUGGAAGACUCGAGAAAUCUCCGGCGGAGUGGCAUGGGCCCGCGGCCUGUUAGCUUGGUGGUGGGGUAACGGCCUACCAAUGCAAUGAUGGGUUGCUGGGGUGAGAGGGCGACAAGCCAAAUUAGGACGGAGACACGGCACAGACUCCUACGGGAGGCGGCAGUGGGGAAGCGUGCACAAUGGACGAAAGCCUAAUGCAGCGACGCCGCGUGCGGGAUGAAGGCCAUCGGGUUGGAAAGCGCUUUCAGCAGGGACGAGGCGAAAGUGACGGUACCUGCAGAAGAAGCCCCGGCUAACUACGUG